CAGCCGCCGCGGGAAUACAGAGGGUGCGAGCGUUAAUCGGAUUUACUGGGCGUAAAGCGUGCGUAUGCGGCUUCUUAAGUCGGAUGUGAAAUCCCUGAGCUUAACUUAGGAAUUGCAUUCGAUACUGGGAAGCUAGAGUAUGGGAGAGGAUGGUAGAAUUCCAGGUGUAGCGGUGAAAUGCGUAGAGAUCUGGAGGAAUACCGAUGGCGAAGGCAGCCAUCUGGCCUAAUACUGACGCUGAGGUACGAAAGCAUGGGGAGCAAACAGGAUUAGAUACCCCCGUAGUCCCUGUCUCUUAUAC
rnacentral:rRNA from 1 species